rnacentral:rRNA from 1 species
UACAGAGGUCUCAAGCGUUGUUCGGAUUCAUUGGGCGUAAAGGGUGUGUAGGUGGCGCCGUAAGUCGGGUGUGAAAUCUUGGAGCUUAACUCCGAAACUGCAUUCGAUACUGCCGUGCUUGAGGACUGGAGAGGAGACUGGAAUUUACGGUGUAGCGGUGAAAUGCGUAGAUAUCGUAAGGAAGACCAGUGGCGAAGGCGGGUCUCUGGACAGUUCCUGACGCUGAGGCACGAAGGCCAGGGGAGCAAACGGGG